AGAUAAUAGAUACCCAGGUAGUCCACGCCGUAAACGAUGGGCACUUGGUGUUGGAGGUAUUGACCCCUUCAGUGCCGAAAGCUAAACGCGAUAAGUGCCCCGCCUGGGGAGUACGGCCGCAAGGUUAAAACUCAAAGAAAUUGACGGGGGCCCGCACAAGCGGUGGAGCAUGUGGUUUAAUUCGAUGCAACGCGAAAAACCUUACCUGGGCUCGAAAUGCAGUGGAAGACGGCAGAGAUGUCGUCGCCUUCGGGCCGCUGCAUAGGUGCUGCAUGGCUGUCGUCAGCUCGUGUCGUGAGAUGUUGGGUUAAGUCCCGCAACGAGCGCAACCCUUGCCUUUAGUUGCCAGCAUUUAGUUGGGCACUCUAGGGGGACUGCCGACGUUAAGUCGGAGGAAGGUGGGGAUGACGUCAAGUCCUCAUGGCCCUUAUGUCCAGGGCUACACACGUGCUACAAUGGUAGAUACAAAGGGUUGCCAAAGCGCAAGCUGGAGCUAAUCCCGUAAAGUCUAUCUAAGUUCAGAUUGAGGUCUGCAAC
rnacentral:rRNA from 1 species